UUUCCGUAGGUGAACCUGCGGAAGGAUCAUUACAGUAUUCUUUUUGCCAGCGCUUAAUUGCGCGGCGAAAAAACCUUACACACAGUGUUUUUUGUUAUUACAAGAACUUUUGCUUUGGUCUGGACUAGAAAUAGUUUGGGCCAGAGGUUUACUGAACUAAACUUCAAUAUUUAUAUUGAAUUGUUAUUUAUUUAAUUGUCAAUUUGUUGAUUAAAUUCAAAAAAUCUUCAAAACUUUCAACAACGGAUCUCUUGGUUCUCGCAUCGAUGAAGAACGCAGCGAAAUGCGAUAAGUAAUAUGAAUUGCAGAUUUUCGUGAAUCAUCGAAUCUUUGAACGCACAUUGCGCCCUCUGGUAUUCCAGAGGGCAUGCCUGUUUGAGCGUCAUUUCUCUCUCAAACCUUCGGGUUUGGUAUUGAGUGAUACUCUUAGUCGAACUAGGCGUUUGCUUGAAAUGUAUUGGCAUGAGUGGUACUGGAUAGUGCUAUAUGACUUUCAAUGUAUUAGGUUUAUCCAACUCGUUGAAUAGUUUAAUGGUAUAUUUCUCGGUAUUCUAGGCUCGGCCUUACAGUAUAACAAACAAGUUUGACCUCAAAUCAGGUAGGAUUACCCGCUGAACUUAA
rnacentral:rRNA from 1 species